rnacentral:rRNA from 1 species
UGCUUAACACAUGCAAGUCGAACGCUUCAUGGGCUUCGGUUCAUGGGGAGUGGCGCACGGGUGAGUAGCGCGUGGGAACCUGCCCUGUUGUGGGGGAUAACCGAGGGAAACCUCGGCUAAUACCGCAUAAGCCGGCCGGUCUAGCGAUAGAUUGGCUGGGAAAGAUUUAUCGCGACAGGAGGGGCCCGCGUCGGAUUAGCUAGUUGGUGGGGUAACGGCCUACCAAGGCGGUGAUCCGUAGCUGGUCUGAGAGGAUGAUCAGCCACACUGGGACUGAGACACGGCCCAGACUCCUACGGGAGGCAGCAGUGGGGAAUAUUGGACAAUGGGCGCAAGCCUGAUCCAGCAAUGCCGCGUGAGUGAGGAAGGCCUUAGGGUUGUAAAGCUC